GGGGAAUAUUGGACAAUGGGCGAAAGCCUGAUCCAGCAAUGCCGCGUGAGUGAUGAAGGCCUUAGGGUUGUAAAGCUCUUUUACCCGGGAUGAUAAUGACAGUACCGGGAGAAUAAGCUCCGGCUAACUCCGUGCCAGCAGCCGCGGUAAUACGGAGGGAGCUAGCGUUAUUCGGAAUUACUGGGCGUAAAGCGCACGUAGGCGGCUUUGUAAGUAAGAGGUGAAAGCCCAGAGCUCAACUCUGGAAUUGCCUUUUAGACUGCAUCGCUUGAAUCAUGGAGAGGUCAGUGGAAUUCCGAGUGUAGAGGUGAAAUUCGUAGAUAUUCGGAAGAACACCAGUGGCGAAGGCGGCUGACUGGACAUGUAUUGACGCUGAGGUGCGAAAGCGUGGGGAGCAAAC
rnacentral:rRNA from 1 species